rnacentral:lncRNA from 1 species
AUUUUCCUAAGAAAUAAUUUAUUAAACUUGUUAACAUCCUCUCUUAUAGGUUCAUUACAACAUAAUCCCCUUCUGCAAUUUACAGAUUACAUGUAAAUGCUGUUACUAAUUAUACAGAUUAGAAUGCAAGUCUUACUGUCAUUUAGAAAGCUUUCCCAUUUUAUACAGACCAAAUUUCUAUAAAUAGGCUAAUUUUAAAAUACCAUCAAGUGAUGACUUUGAUCAACCUGUAAUAGGAGUUAGCAAACUAUU